CUCUGCAGCGCAUUGGCCCUCCAGGGCAAGAUUUGAGGAACCCUGGUCUAGAUAGACCAGCUGAGAAGUGUCCAAAACCCCUCUAAAACCAUAAACCAUCUUAGGAUGGUUUAAGAUAUUAUUUUGAAGCAGGCCAUAAACAGCAGGAGACGAGCAUCGUGUGUGAGCCGGAGCAUAUGUUUGUCUAUAUUAGCAUCUAGUGGAGAUGGAAGACAGAUGUCUUAUGUCAGAUGUUCGGUUGGUCGAGGCCCACGGUCAGCCGGAGAAGCCAACCAGACUGAUGCUCUCACCUCGUCCGCAGAUCAUCGCUGGUCUCUGCUAUGGAAGUGCAUUGAAAGGGGGGGUGUUGCAUGGAUCAUUGACCAGUUCUGCAAGGGUAAGGCUUCAAGAUCAGCACACGUUGUCAAUCAGGUGC